UACCAGCACCCCGAGUGGUCGGGACGAUUAUUGGGCCUAAAGCAUCCGUAGCCGGUCAUGCAAGUCCUCCGUUAAAUCCACCUGCUUAACAGAUGGGCUGCGGAGGAUACUACAAGGCUAGGAGGCGGAAGAGGCAAGCGGUACUCAGUGGGUAGGGGUAAAAUCCUCUGAUCCAUUGAAGACCACCAGUGGCGAAGGCGG
rnacentral:rRNA from 1 species